GCCCCUAUAGCUCAACGGACAGAGUAACGGUUUCCGGAACCGUUGAUGCAGGUUCGAUUCCUGCUGGGGGCA
rnacentral:tRNA from 1 species